GAUCUGUCAAAUUCUACUUAUAAAUUGCCAAACCCUGCAAAUUCGUCCUAUACUGAACCUAGCAGUGUUGACUUAAACUAUCGUGUUGAUUCCAACUUCCAACCACAAAUAGAACCAGCAUAAAAUACCAAUCAAGGCUUAGAAUCUUCAGAAACAGAUGAGACUCCUACUGAACUCGAAUUGUCACCUGAUGUCUCAGGAAAUUUUCACAUGCCUCGAAGGUCUGAUAGAAAUAGAAACAAGCCUGCUUAUCUGAAGGACUUUAUCUGCCAUCAAGCAUUCUCACUCACUCACCCAAAAAAGUCCGACAAGAAAAAAUGGACUAUAACUUUAGGUAGCCUAUUUCUUUUAUUUGCAACACUCUCAUAUCACAAACUAUCUAGCAAGCACAAAGCCUUUGCUUCAUCUGUACUUGCACAAUUAGAACCUGCUACUUACCAAGAGGCCAUCAAAUGUCCUGAGUGGUAUGAAGCUAGGCAGGCUGAGAUAAGUGCACUUGAGUUAAAUCAAACCUGGACUGUGACUGAUUUGCCAUCCAGAAAGGUUCCUAUAGGAUGCAAAUGGGUUUAUAAAGUGAAGUUCAAUGCUGAUGGAACAGUUGAGAGGCAUAAAGUGAGGCUGGUGGCAAAAGGAUACACCUAGCUGGGAGGAAUAGACUAUCAAGAGACAUUUUCACUUGUGGCAAAGCUGGUGAUAGUAAGAACAUUGCUCGCAGUAGCAGUAGUAGCGGGUUGGUAUUUACACCAAUUCGAUGUGAACAAUGCAUUUUUGCAUGGAGACUUGGACGAAGAAGUUUAUAUGCAAGUUCCUCCUGGUUAUUCUGUCAAUGGAACUUCAAAGGUUUGCAAGCUCAACAAAAGUUUAUAUUGUUUGAAGCAAACAUCUAGACAGUGGUAUUCAAAGUUGUCCAUUUUUAUCAUUGGUCAAGGCUUUCAUCAAUCCAAGGCUGAUUACAGUUUGUUCACAAGAAAGAAGGGUAAUUCCUUUACGGCCAUAUUAGUUUAUGUCGAUGAUAUAAUAAUAGCAGGAGACAAUGUGGAAGUUAUAAAUUCUCUUAAAAUUCACUUGAUGAUAACUUUAAGAUCAAAGAUUUGGGAGACUUAAAAUAUUUCCUUGACAUAGAGGUUGCUCGAUCAGCGAAGGGAAUUCAAAUUUGUCAAAAGAAAUAUGCUUUGGAUAUUUUGGCUCAUUCAGGUACCAUUGGAGUAACACCAACCAAAAUUCCACUUAACCAAAGCACCAAGCUGUCCAAAGAUGAGGAAAAGGUUCUGCCUGAUCCUACUCUGUUCAAAAGACUAGUGGGAAGACUACUUUACUCAACAAUUAGCAGGCCAGAUUCAGUACACCUGCUGAGUCGGUACAUGCAAUGCCACACUUGAAUGAUGCUCACAAGGUACUUAUA
rnacentral:lncRNA from 1 species